GUUCCAGACUCCUACGGGAGGCAGCAGUGGGGAAUUUUGCGCAAUGCUCGUAAGAGUGGCGCAGCGACGCCGCGUGAGUGAAGAAGUAUUUCGGUAUGUAAAGCUCUAUCAGCAGGGAAGAAAAUGACGGUACCUGAUUAAGAAGCCCCGGCUAACUACGUGCCAGCAGCCGCGGUAAUAUGUAGGGGGCAAGCGUUAUCCGGAUUUACUGGGUGUAAAGGGAGCGUAGACGGCAGCACAAGUCUGGAGUGAAAUGCCGGGGCUUAACCCCGGAACUGCUUUGGAAACUGUGCAGCUAGAGUGCAGGAGAGGUAAGUGGAAUUCCUAGUGUAGCGGUGAAAUGCGUAGAUAUUAGGAGGAACACCAGUGGCGAAGGCGGCUUACUGGACUGUAACUGACGUUGAGGCUCGAAAGCGUGGGGAGCAAACAGGAUUAGAUACCCUAGUAC
rnacentral:rRNA from 1 species